rnacentral:rRNA from 1 species
GAUGAACGCUGGCGGCGUGCCUAAUACAUGCAAGUCGAGCGAACAGAUGAGGAGCUUGCUCCUCUGACGUUAGCGGCGGACGGGUGAGUAACACGUGGAUAACCUACCUAUAAGACUGGGAUAACUUCGGGAAACCGGAGCUAAUACCGGAUAAUAUAUUGAACCGCAUGGUUCAAUAGUGAAAGACGGUUUUGCUGUCACUUAUAGAUGGAUCCGCGCCGCAUUAGCUAGUUGGUAAGGUAACGGCUUACCAAGGCAACGAUGCGUAGCCGACCUGAGAGGGUGAUCGGCCACACUGGAACUGAGACACGGUCCAGACUCCUACGGGAGGAAGCAGUAGGGAAUCUUCCGCAAUGGGCGAAAGCCUGACGGAGCAACGCCGCGUGAGUGAUGGAGGUCUUCGGAUCGUAAAACUCUGUUAUUAGGGAAGAACAAAUGUGUAAGUAACUAUGCACGUCUUGACGGUACCUAAUCAGAAAGCCACGGCUAACUACGUG